rnacentral:rRNA from 1 species
AACGUAGGAGACAAACGUUAUCCGGAGUUACUGGGCGUAAAGGGCGUGUAGGCGGUUUGUUAAGUCUGGCGUGAAAGCUCUCGGCUAAACCGGGAGAGGUCGUUGGAUACUGGCAAACUAGAGGAUGGUAGAGGCGUGUGGAAUUCCGGGUGUAGUGGUGAAAUGCGUAGAGAUCCGGAAGAACACCAGUGGCGAAGGCGCUCUACUGGGCCGAGACUGACACUGAGAGACGACAGCUAGGGGAGCGAAAAGG